UCGAGCGAGUCUGCCUUGAAGAUCGGAGUGCUUGCACUCUGUGAAACAAGAUACAGGCUAGCGGCGGACGGGUGAGUAACACGUGGGUAACCUGCCCAAGAGAUCGGGAUAACACCUGGAAACAGAUGCUAAUACCGGAUAACAACAGAUGAUGCCUAUCAACUGUUUAAAAGAUGGUUCUGCUAUCACUCUUGGAUGGACCUGCGGUGCAUUAGCUAGUUGGUAGGAUAACGGCCUACCAAGGCGAUGAUGCAUAGCCGAGUUGAGAGACUGAUCGGCCACAUUGGGACUGAGACACGGCCCAAACUCCUACGGGAGGCAGCAGUAGGGAAUCUUCCACAAUGGACGCAAGUCUGAUGGAGCAACGCCGCGUGAGUGAAGAAGGGUUUCGGCUCGUAAAGCUCUGUUGUUGGUGAAGAAGGACGGGGGUAGUAACUGACCUUUGUUUGACGGUAAUCAAUUAGAAAGUCACGGCUAACUACGUGCCAGCAGCCGCGGUAAUACGUAGGUGGCAAGCGUUGUCCGGAUUUAUUGGGCGUAAAGCGAGUGCAGGCGGUUCGAUAAGUCUGAUGUGAAAGCCUUCGGCUCAACCGGAGAAUUGCAUCAGAAACUGUCGAGCUUGAGUACAGAAGAGGAGAGUGGAACUCCAUGUGUAGCGGUGAAAUGCGUAGAUAUAUGGAAGAACACCGGUGGCGAAGGCGGCUCUCUGGUCUGUUACUGACGCUGAGGCUCGAAAGCAUGGGUAGCGAACAGGAUUAGAUACCCUGGUAGUCCAUGCCGUAAACGAUGAGUGCUAAGUGUUGGGAGGUUUCCGCCUCUCAGUGCUGCAGCUAACGCAUU
rnacentral:rRNA from 1 species